rnacentral:sRNA from 1 species
AAUGAAUAUGGAUGAGAGAGUUUUACCAUUCCUCCGUUCGAUUGAGCAACAGUCAUAAAUAACAUAUAUGUCUGGAUCGAUCGGUAUUCAUAUUAAAGCCUACAAAAAGAAAAAGCAGAAGAAGAAAAGAAAAAGUUGAAAUUUAUCCUUAGAAGGGUAGAAUAUCGAGAUGGCGAGUCUUACAUGUACGUGACGGGCACAUGGAGCGAUUGAUGGACGACUGACUGUAAGGGGAAGAAAACCCAACAGAUCAAAAAAUCCAUUUAGUUCUCAUAUAUACAAAGGAGAAAAAAACUAUGAAGUUAACUUAAAGUUGCGAAGAAAGCAUCAACAGUGGAAGGUAAAAGAAAGG